rnacentral:rRNA from 1 species
GACGAACGCUGGCGGCGUGCUUAACACAUGCAAGUCGAGCGGUAAGGCCCUUUCGGGGGUACACGAGCGGCGAACGGGUGAGUAACACGUGGGUGACCUGCCCUUAGCUCUGGGAUAAGCCUGGGAAACUGGGUCUAAUACCGGAUAUGACUCCAUGACGCAUGUUGUGGGGUGGAAAGCCUUGUGCGGCUAGGGAUGGGCCUGCGGCCUAUCAGCUUGUUGGUGGGGUGAUGGCCUACCAAGGCGACGACGGGUAGCCGGCCUGAGAGGGCGACCGGCCACACUGGGACUGAGACACGGCCCAGACUCCUACGGGAGGCAGCAGUGGGGAAUCUUGCGCAAUGGGCGAAAGCCUGACGCAGCGACGCCGCGUGGGGAUGACGGCC